AGUCUGGCUUCAGGUCGGGGACAACCACUGGAAACGGUGGCUAAUACCGGAUGUGCCCUUGGGUGAAAGAUUAAUUCGCCUGAAGAUGAGCUCGCGUCUGAUUAGCUAGUAGGUGGGGUAAGAGCCUACCUAGGCGACGAUCAGUAGCUGGUCUGAGAGGAUGAUCAGCCACACUGGGACUGAGACACGGCCCAGACUCCUACGGGAGGCAGCAGUGGGGAAUUUUCCGCAAUGGGCGAAAGCCUGACGGAGCAAUACCGCGUGAGGGAGGAAGGCUCUUGGGUCGUAAACCUCUUUUCUCAAGGAAGAACACAAUGACGGUACUUGAGGAAUCAGCAUCGGCUAACUCCGUGCCAGCAGCCGCGGUAAUACGGAGGAUGCAAGCGUUAUCCGGAAUGAUUGGGCGUAAAGCGUCCGCAGGUGGCGAUGUAAGUCUGCUGUUAAAGAGUGAGGCUCAACCUCAUAAGAGCAGUGGAAACUACAUAGCUAGAGUGCGUUCGGGGCAGAGGGAAUUCCUGGUGUAGCGGUGAAAUGCGUAGAGAUCAGGAAGAACACCGGUGGCGAAAGCGCUCUGCUAGGCCGCAACUGACACUGAGGGACGAAAGCUAGGGGAGCGAAU
rnacentral:rRNA from 1 species